CCUACGAGAGGCUGCAGUGAGGAAUAUUGGUCAAUGGACGCAAGUCUGAACCAGCCAUGCCGCGUGCAGGAAGACGGCCCUAUGAGUUGUAAACUGCUUUUGUACGAGGGUAAACGCAGAUACGCGUAUCUGUCUGAAAGUAUCGUACGAAUAAGGAUCGGCUAACUCCGUGCCAGCAGCCGCGGUAAUACGGAGGAUUCAAGCGUUAUCCGGAUUUAUUGGGUUUAAAGGGUGCGUAGGCGGUCGGAUGAGUUAGAGGUGAAAUCCCGAGGCUCAACUUCGGAAUUGCCUCUGAUACUGUUCGGCUAGAGAGUAGUUGAGGUAGGCGGAAUGUAUGGUGUAGCGGUGAAAUGCUUAGAGAUCAUACAGAACACCGAUUGCGAAGGCAGCUUACCAGGCUAAUUCUGACGUUGAGGCACGAAAGCGUGGGGAGCAAACAGGAUUAGAUACCCGGGUAGUC
rnacentral:rRNA from 1 species